UUGGUUUACUGACUUUUUCUCUGGGGUUAGA
rnacentral:piRNA from 1 species